rnacentral:rRNA from 1 species
GAUGAACGCUGGCGGCGUGCCUAAUACAUGCAAGUCGAGCGAACGGACGAGAAUCUUGCUUCUCUGAUGUUAGCGGCGGACGGGUGAGUAACACGUGGAUAACCUACCUAUAAGACUGGGAUAACUUCGGGAAACCGGAGCUAAUACCGGAUAAUAUUUUGAACCGCAUGGUUCAAAAGUGAAAGACGGUCUUGCUGUCACUUAUAGAUGGAUCCGCGCUGCAUUAGCUAGUUGGUAAGGUAACGGCUUACCAAGGCAACGAUGCAUAGCCGACCUGAGAGGGUGAUCGGCCACACUGGAACUGAGACACGGUCCAGACUCCUACGGGAGGCAGCAGUAGGGAAUCUUCCGCAAUGGGCGAAAGCCUGACGGAGCAACGCCGCGUGAGUGAUGAAGGUCUUCGGAUCGUAAAACUCUGUUAUUAGGGAAGAACAUAUGUGUAAGUAACUGUACACAUCUUGACGGUACCUAAUCAGAAAGCCACGGCUAACUACGUG